UAGCCUAGUGAUUAAGGCUAUGGAUCGAUAAUCCGGAGACGGCGGGUUCGAUUCCCGU
rfam:Aedes albopictus isolate Foshan contig133813, whole genome shotgun sequence.